CACCAUCUCCGACCGCGGCGCCUCCUCCAGACCUCCAGGCCUCUACAUCAAGCAGCCGCGUCCCACUGCAACAAAUUCCUGGACGCUCUCCUACCUCCUGCGGCUUAAGGCAAACCCUAGGUGCCGCCGCCAUGCCCAACUGCGCGAGCAACAAAUUCGGGCAACCGCCCAGCCCUCUCUGUGACGGCAAGAAACGGCGACCCCUCAGGGAACCAAGCCGGCGACCACUUUUCCUGCCAGGCCGGUGAUGCGCAAUUCUGUGCAGAACACACGGUGUUGGGCACUCAAGAUCCACUUGGUGGAUGAAUCGGGAGCGGAUCGGGUGGCCGUCAUGGUCUUCUUCCCUACCAACAACAUUGGCCUGCCUGAUUAGUUUCAGGCGCAGUAGCACCUGAAGCUAGGUUUACCAGGACAACCUCCAUGUGAUUUGUGACUAUUUCAAAUUCUAUGCCUGAUGCCUCCCUUAUUGUUUGGAUUCACUUAUCUUCGUUCAGUAUAAGAGGAUAUAUGCAUGGGAAGUUUAUUACAGAUUGCACAAUAUAUACUUCUAAUGUUGUUCAGAUGAAACUGAUCCACAUAUUUAGUUGGACACUUGUACAAUGUUCGUAUGCAUAAGGAUGUAUGGUUGGUUUUGUACGGGAGCUGCUCUUCCAUGUGAAUGCAAUUCAAUCGAUCCACCGUGGUAUUCUGCCCACCUCUAGGAGAGGCUCUACAGGAUUUCUGAAUAAGAGCCCACAUGACAUGUUUAAUUCUCAUGGGGCAGUAAUUUCCAUUGUUUAGACAUCUGGAGUAGCUUACUUCUAUGGAGCGUUGUAACAUGUUGGACAUCAAUUGGCUCAUCAGAUGGGGUCUUGUAUUCAGUUUUCUUAUGAUGGUGAUAUCAAAGAGUCUCUUCGAAGACCAGUAGUCCAGCACCUA